rnacentral:rRNA from 1 species
UACGUAGGCAGCGAGCGUUGUUCGGAAUUACUGGGCGUAAAGCGUGCGUAGGCGGUGCCUCAAGUUUGGUGUGAAAUCUCCCGGCUCAACCGGGAGGGUGCGCCGAAAACUGAGGUGCUCGAGUGUGGGAGAGGUAAGCGGAAUUCCUGGUGUAGCGGUGAAAUGCGUAGAUAUCAGGAGGAACACCGGCGGUGUAGACGGCUUACUGGACCAUAACUGACGCUGAGGCACGAAAGCUAGGGGAGCGAAUGGG